ACGGAAAGGCCCUGCUUUUGUGGGGUGCUCGAGUGGCGAACGGGUGAGUAACACGUGAGUAACCUGCCCUUGACUUUGGGAUAACUUCAGGAAACUGGGGCUAAUACCGGAUAGGAGCUCCUGCUGCAUGGUGGGGGUUGGAAAGUUUCGGCGGUUGGGGAUGGACUCGCGGCUUAUCAGCUUGUUGGUGGGGUAGUGGCUUACCAAGGCUUUGACGGGUAGCCGGCCUGAGAGGGUGACCGGCCACAUUGGGACUGAGAUACGGCCCAGACUCCUACGGGAGGCAGCAGUGGGGAAUAUUGCACAAUGGGCGGAAGCCUGAUGCAGCAACGCCGCGUGCGGGAUGACGGCCUUCGGGUUGUAAACCGCUUUCGCCUGUGACGAAGCGUGAGUGACGGUAAUGGGUAAAGAAGCACCGGCUAACUACGUGCCAGCAGCCGCGGUGAUACGUAGGGUGCGAGCGUUGUC
rnacentral:rRNA from 1 species